AGGCCUACAGUUGAAACAAUUAUGGGGUGAACUUGAUAGAACACUAAAUUCCAAUAAAAUGCAUUGGAAUGAAAAUAAAUCGAAUCGAAUCGAAUCAAAACGCAGAAAGUUUUCAGUUCAAGGUACAGAUCGUUUUCCGUGUUGGCUCUACAUAAUCCCAGCAACCAUCUUCCUUGCUAGCUUUAUCGAGAAAAGCACCACUGUAAAGGCACUGCUGCCACGUUUGUUCAGCAAGAAUUUGAGCGGCGGUUUGAUCCCUUGACAUACUAUUAAUAUUUUCUACUGAAACGGUAUGCGCUCCAGGUUGUGGUACUCGACUGUUUAUUUGAAUUGGAGAUGGUGGUGGCGUCACCACAGUAAUGGGGAUGGAUUCGUUUGGGUUAAUGCAGUUCGACUUGGGUAUGCUGAAAUAAAGAAAAAAAUAAUUUACUGAUGUACAUUUUCAACCCAAAUAAACAUGAGUCUGUUGGGAUUCGAAAAAUUAACAAAAUUUCGUAUCAGAAAUCAAAAAUGUAUGAACAUUACCGUACUUUACACAUCCAAAAAAAAUUAUUGUGCAAAACUCGAUAGUUUUGAAAUCCAGACCAAUAAAAGCCAUUGUCAUCAGUCAACUGAAUUCUAAACCAGAUUCCUUAGUGGAUCAGUAGGUCGAUCGGCUUCUGCCGACUCACGACUUAAAUGCGCAAUGUAAUAAAAGGAUGAAGAACUUUAACACCGAUCUUCUCAAGUCUCGUUCUUUUUAUGCCAUUGUGUAAUGGGUAAAAACAAACAGAGAAGAUACGAAAAGAAGAUAUUGAAGAUAACCGUUACGAAACAGCAAUCAGUGAACGACAUCAUGUAUAGAGUAUGUAAAGAGAAAUUGUCUAGGAAUUUUAAUAAAGUUUUGAUAUGAAAAGGAUAGUGAAAGAAACUGAUGAGACCAAAUAACCAAUAAAAUUUCAUAAAAGAGA